CGUAAGGUAUGUCAGCAGAAGUCCAACUAAUCUCCCAGAACAGUCUCUAAAAUCCUUAAUAAAACUCAAGACAUGAUUUCAUUAUUGUUUUCGAUGGGAAUCUAACUCAAAAUCAACCGUUUUCAAGUCAACUCUUACCGCCAAGCUACCACGGCUUUGGUUAAAUGGUAUGAGCGUUCAAGAUUGUAUUAUUUGGAAGCUGCAAAAGAACACUGCCAAAAGACCUUUACGUGACUAGUAAUUUACCAAUUAAUUAAUUUAUGUGAAUCUGUCUGCCUAAAUAAUUUA
rnacentral:lncRNA from 1 species